UCUAUCAUAUAAAGUCUUUUUGUUUAUCAUUUGCAAGAGACGUCAAAGUUGAACUCAUUUACUCAAUGAAGAAAACAAAACAGAAUUAUUAUGCAAAUGGUAAAUUAUUUUGAAUUUUGAACUUAAAUAUUCAAUACGAAUGGAAUGAUAUCUUGAUACCGGAUUACAAAUGAACACACUUAACUUAAAGGCUAUCAAAUUUUGAAACGAAGCAAUUGAAUUCAAUUGAUUAAGUUCAAACUCAUGAUAAUCUAAAACAAUCAAUUAUGAGCCAAAAAAGUGUACAGAAUAAUUACUACGUCUUCUUUCUUUCUUAGAAAUUGCAGAUUUUGCGAUCUCAAUCAUUUGUCUCUAUAUCUUGACUUUUUGUACAUUCUCUGAUUCUUUUUUUUAACAAUAAAAUUAAAUUUGAAUCGAACUGAAAUAAACUUGGAAAUAUGUGCAGUUCUCGGAAUAAGUUAUGUACAUAUGGACUACCAAGUGUUUAUAUAUAAAACUUCAAUGAAGAUGAAACCUUUACCAAAAUUGUAAAAAAGUACAAAAAGUACUUUCUUCUAAAAAUUUGAAAGCUUGAAUACCUACAUAGAGUUUAUAGAGGAGAUAACAUCUUUGUUAUCAGUUAUCACUGACUACAGGUGAAUUGCUUAUUUUGUUU